GCGGGUCUGGAGAAGAGAGAGGGAAAGAGACAGAGGCAGGGUGGGAGCUGGGGGAUGAGGGAUUAGGACUGAGUCACUUUGGAGACAAAUUUAGUUCAGGGACACUCACAGAUACUGGUGGUGGUGAGCCAGCCAUAUUUUUUCUUUUUUUUCAUAUCUUGUUGGGAAAUUUGCCUAGGUUGAGCAACCGACUUUCCUGAUUCAAAUUAAGUGUGUAUUAUAGAUACCGACAGAGCCCUGUGUUCCUUCUUGAAACUCCUGAUGUGAGGAUAUUUUGAAACAGUCAUUUUAUUGAGAAAAAAACAUUGUAUGUAUGGUAGAUCCACGGAAGGAAGGAAAAAAACAAAACAAGAAAAACCCAAAAAACAACCCAGCUCUUUCUAUGGACUUCAGAAAGUUGUUUUAAAGGAGGGUGAAAAUAGGUAAAACAAUUUUAUGGCUUUCCAUGUCUUCUGAACAAUACAGACUGAAAUAAAAUCAUAAAGAGAGAUGUCAAAAACACAGCAUCUUUGUGUCCACUUUAAAAUGCUUUCUCCUUAAAAACUGUUUCCUGUGAUAUUUAAAAGAUUUUGAAGAUAACCCCGUUAGAGCACACUUAGAAAGCGGCGUAAGCAUUUGAAACACUCAAAUAGUUAGUUGCCCUUCUUCGGUGUCUGAAGCAAGGAACCCUAUUUGAAGUUGUGCCAAAGAAUCAACUGGUAACAUCCUCCUGACAGAAGUCAGUAAUAAAUUAGGCUAAUUUCACAGGGCCUGCUUGGUCCCUAGGAAUUUGUAAUCUGUGGAGUAUCAGUCUUUUUUUAAAAGGCAGCAAUGAAAUGAAACUCAAAGGACAACUUCCAGGGAAUGUGCAGAAAGCCAAAGAAACUCAGAUAAACAGAUAAGAUGAUUCCCAUGUUGUGAAGUGGCAGAGCCCGGGGAGGGGGCACACCGACUGCCCCCAGUCUUCUCCGUUGGUCUACUGUCUGGUCUCCACUUGCUAGAAUGGAGAUUCCUCUGGUUCACAGUGAGACGGAGAUGAAAGGAAGUCACUUGAACUGUGGACUUUCGCAGAGCGACCCUCCAGAAUCCUUUAAUGUUCCAAAAUAAAUCUUUCCCCUCCCGUGUAACGUAAGCCAAAAAAACAAACCUGUCGCUCAGGGCGGUAUGGUUUCUAAACGUGAAUGCCCAUGAGGUUGCAAUUACAGAAGAGAAAGAGGGUCUCUGUCCCAUUUCCUAGGAAAGGGGUGUAAUUGGAAUAUAAUUGUCCUCAUGGAUCCUGAUUUCAGGUCAAUGCCAAUUUGAGAGCCAUUGGUUGUGGUAAUUCUUACUAGGUUGUGAGUGACUACUGAUAGGUGAAUCCUCCCAUAGGUGUUUGCAUUUUAAAGUAGAACUGUUGGGGCACCUGGGUGGCUCAGUCCGUUAAGUAUCUGCCUUUGGCUCAGGUCUUGAUUCCUGGGUCUUGGGAUCGAGCCCCAUGUCGGGACUCGGCUUCUCCCUUUCCCUCUGCUCCUCUCCAGCACUCGUGCUCAUGCUUUCUCAAAUAAAUAGAUAAAUAAAAUCUUAAAAAAAAACAAAACCCAAACAAACAAGUAGAACUGUUUACCAACUCAAAUGAAUCUGUGAUUGGUGUGUGUGUGUGUGUGUGUGUGUGUGUGUCGCGCAUGCAUGCACGCAUGCAAGGCAGCUCUGGUCCUUUCUGUAGCCCCGUUACUGGUGUUCUUCCACCUGCAUGGUCUCCCCCAUCCCUCGCACAUACCGACACAUCAAAAGAGACAGUCAGCCUCUUGGCAUCUCCUCCUGGCAGGGCUCCGAGAGAAUCUUGAGAAGCCGCAGAAUUGUCCCCAAGGGACAGGGCAUUAAACCAGAUGGGUGGUGGUGGGGAUAUGUCGUUGGCAGCAUGUUCCUCCGUUUCCUUGCCAGAACCCAUAGAUGGGCUCCGGGCAGGCUAGUUCCUGCUGGCAUCAGCAUAGCACGUGCAGAUCACAUCUGCCCCCUGUCCGCCCUUCCUUAGAUACCUGCUCCCCCUGGGAAACCCUUGUCACGAGGCGUCUCUGCCUGAUGGUACCUUAGGUGUGUGCCCAGAUGGUUGCAGUUUUCUUCACUGAAUUCAAAAGAAUCGGACUAGGGUGCUAGAGGAGGGGGGGACCCACCAGAGUGAUUCCUCUGCCCGAUUGCAGGGGGUCCCCCUCUCCGUUUCAGAGAGAGUGUGUGAAGCAGCAUUUUCCACCCAGAGAGGCUUCUCAGUGUUAACCCCUUCCCAUUUUUCAGUGGUAAGUUUAUAGGUGUUUGCACUUAGAGGCCGUAUUAACGUGUGUGUGUGUGUGUAUGUAUGUCUACGGGAUGCAUUAACUUAGCAGCUUUCCUUUUCGAGGAUCUUUGCCAACCAAGAGUCUCUUCUUAGGGGUCCCUGUCAGAACCGAGGUGCUGGAGGGGAGGCAGCAUGGUGUCACUGCCUGGUAGUGAGGGGACAGGAACUCAAGCCUUUGAUCUGCUGCUGCAGAGAAGGUGUCCUGAGCCAAGAUGUUUCAGUUCCCCUGAAAGCUCUAUUGAUGCCUCUAAUGAAGAGGUUGAAGAGGAAGGAAGAAGGUGCCACCAACAUGCUGUGUGAGCUUUGGCACAUUGCUUGACCUCUCAGAGAUGUAUAAAUGUACACCUUGCCCGAGUGAUUUCUAGAGCUCUAUUCACUUCAGAUCUGAGAAUUUGCUGGUGCAUUUUCCACUGAUGGUAAUUCAUCUGUGGGUGCUUCAUAAUAAGAUUUGAUGUUAAUUUGAAGAGCAGCCAUUACACAUUAAAAUGAAAAUUACCCCAAGGAAAGAAUUAGAGCUGGGAGGGGUUACAUGUGUAAUAGAAACAAACAGGAAAAAAACCCUACUACUGCUAAUUUAACUGAUGCCUGCAAUCUAAGAAGGGCAAAUGCAUGAUUCUAGUAUUUUCUUUAGUGGAUUAUAGAAAAGAAAAUUAAAUCAGAAGUCAAAAAUAAACAGUUUGAUUGCUCUUUACUGUAUUGUCUUAAUAAACAGUCUUCCUGGAAAAUUUAAAAAUACACAGUGUUCUGUCUGGCCAGAGAAAACAAUAAGCAAAUAUUGUUGAGAAAAUGUGAGACUUUUCCAUCUAGGCACGAGUGACAGCAACAUUGCCAUGUGGACUUGGAGACAUCCCACAAGGAGUUAGAGGUUGAUAAGCAUUGCCUGCUUUUCAAAGCUUGUGACUGGGGACACAGCUGUCACCCAUGGGGUUAGAAUAGGAGUGGGCAGUGCUGAGCAUUCUUGCAGACUCUGGGCAAAUCCUGACCCACUUCUUCAUUUGCCCACAACGUCUGGUCUAGACGUCCGCCUUGUCUUGACUGGCCACACAUAUUUUACAGUCGAGGGGGCUGCUGAGAAGAUUGGUGGUUCUCUUUCCCUUAGGUUUUCUAUGGCUGUAUGUGGCAAAAAGUGGUAUCUCUGUCAUCAUCACAUGGGGUUAAUGCCCUCAUGAGUACAGAAACCCAGUGAAGAAUACAAAUAAAAGAAUGUCGAUAUAGACCCAAGUGUAGGUAAAAAUUUAGUUUAUGGUAAUAGAAGCAUUUCAGAUAAAAGGGGAAAGUAUGGCUCACUCAGGAACUGGUGCUGAGGUAAGGGACUAAUGAAUCAUUGGGGAAGACGUAACGUUGGAUUCCUACCCCAUGCUAACCAAACAAAUUACAGAAGUGAAGAUUUAGAUUUGUAAAAAAAAAAAAAAAAAAGAACUAUAAAAAUUCUAGAAGAAAGUAUAAGUGAAUAUUAUAAGAAAAAAGGCUAACAUAGCUGACAAUGCAAAAAAUAAAAAAGAAUCUCUGGCAAAAGUGAUCACAACAAAAAUUGAAAGUUGGGUGACAAGACUGGAAAAAUUGCCUUAAUCUAUUAGAUACUCUCCUAGAAAUCCAUCAAAAGGAGGAAAUGCUCCGUAGAGAAAUGUCCAAAGACCAUGAGGAGGCAUUUCACAAAAGAAAGCAUAGCUACAAAAGAAGCUCUAUUAAUUAAGCAGCAAUCUUGGUCGCAAAUGACCGCAAUCCAGUUUGAGCAAGCACAGGCAAAUGAGAAUUCAUCUGGGGGGAAACUGGGGUGUCUUGCAUGUCAAGGAAGGGUGGGAGGUACAGGGACCCGGAUGGCCUCAGAAGCACCGUAACCCAGAACUUGAACACUUCUAGCACUCUCCAUCUUCUCUCCCAUCUGCUUCGUGUUCUCCCAGCCUCCUAUUUCCUCAUCACUUUCUGUGUGUUAGGGGAACAUGUCAUGGUUUCCUAUUUUACAACUUGCACCAGUAGACGGAGACUGGUCUUUUCCUCCCAGUUCUGAUUUGAAAAACUAAGGAAUGACUCCACUUGACCUGUCUUGUGUUGGUGGAUCGCUCUGGAACAAUUUAUGUAGAUUGCAAGCUUCAAUUCUUAGAUUCUUAGUUUGAAGUCCGUAGGGGUGAAAUGGUAACAACAUGAUGGCUCUGGUUACAGCUAGGGAGGAUGGGGUAUUAAGUGGAGAGGUAGUUUCCAGGGGAAGAGGAGAGGCAUUAUAUAGGGAUUCACUAUACAAGAAAAGAUAUUCAGCCCACCUGUAAACCGAAUCUUGUGUAUAUGCAGAAUCUUAGAAUGGCAAAAAUGUAACACAUUGAUAAGGAAGUGUGGGUAGAUAGGUUCUUUCAAACAUUACACUCCCUUUGCUGAUAGGAGUGCAAAUUGAUGUCUUUCUCAAGGAGUCUGACAAUAUAUAUAUCAAAAGGCUUAAAAUUAUAUAACCCUUGACCUUGAAAUUCCAAUUCUAUGAUUUCAUCUUAAGAAACACAGUGCACGGGUGCUUGGGGGGCUCAGUGGGUUAAGCCUCUGCCUUUGGCUCAGGUCAUGAUCUCCGGGUCCUGGGAUUGAGCCCCGCAUCAGGCUCUCAGCUCAGUGGGGAGCCUGCUUCUCCCCCUCUCUCUGCCUGCCUCUCUGCCUACUUGAGAUCUCUGUCAAAUAAAUAAAUAAAAUCUUAAAAAAAAAAAAAAAGAAAAA